rnacentral:misc_RNA from 1 species
UAAUUUUGGGGCAUUGAAGCGCCUACAGGCGCUUCGGUGUCGCCAAUCGAGAUACCAACCCAUGUCUUUUGAGCACCUUACGUUUCCUCGGCAGGCUCGCCUGCCAAUGGGGACCACUUCAAAACCCUUUUGUGUAUGCAGUAAACGUCUACAAACAAAUGAAAUCA